rnacentral:rRNA from 1 species
GAUGAACGCUGGUGGUAUGCUUAACACAUGCAAGUCGAACGGACUCUUCGGAGUUAGUGGCGGACGGGUGAGUAACGCGUGAGAAUCUGGCUUUGGGUUCGGGACAACCACUGGAAACGGUGGCUAAUAUCGGAUGUGCCGAGAGGUAAAAGAGAAAUUGCCUGAAGAUGAGCGCGCGUCUGAUUAGCUAGUUGGUGAGGUAAAGGCUCACCAAGGCAGCGAUCAGUAGCCGGUCUGAGAGGAUGACCAGCCACACUGGGACUGAGACACGGCCCAGACUCCUACGGGAGGCAGCAGUGGGGAAUUUUCCGCAAUGGGCGAAAGCCUGACGGAGCAAUACCGCGUGAGGGAAGAAGGCUCUUGGGUUGUAAACCUCUUUUCUUAGGGAAGAACAAAAUGACGGUACCUAAGGAAUCAGCAUCGGCUAACUCCGUG